rnacentral:rRNA from 1 species
GGGAUAACACUUGGAAACAGGUGCUAAUACCGCAUAACCAUAGUUACCGCAUGGUAACUAUGUAAAAGGUGGCUAUACUACCGCUUUUGGAUGGGCCCGCGGCGCAUUAGCUAGUUGGUAGGGUAAAGGCUUACCAAGGCAAUGAUGCGUAGCCGAAUUGAGAGGUUGAUCGGCCACAUUGGGACUGAGACACGGCCCAAACUCCUACGGGAGGCAGCAGUAGGGAAUCUUCCACAAUGGGCGAAAGCCUGAUGGAGCAACGCCGCGUGGGUGAAGAAGGUCUUCGGAUCGUAAAACCCUGUUGUUAGAGAAGAAAGUGCGUGAGAGUAACUGUUCACGUUUCGACGGUAUCUAACCAGAAAGCCACGGCUAACUACGUGCCAGCAGCCGCGGUAAUACGUAGGUGGCAAGCGUUAUCCGGAUUUAUUGGGCGUAAAGGGAACGCAGGCGGUCUUUUAAGUCUGAUGUGAAAGCCUUCGGCUUAACCGGAGUAGUGCAUUGGAAACUGGGAGACUUGAGUGCAGAAGAGGAGAGUGGAACUCCAUGUGUAGCGGUGAAAUGCGUAGAUAUAUGGAAGAACAUCAGUGGCGAAAGCGGCUCUCUGGUCUGUAACUGACGCUGAGGUUCGAAAGCGUGGGUAGCAAACAGGAUUAGAUACCCUGGUAGUCCACGCCGUAAACGAUGAAUGCUAAGUGUUGG